rnacentral:ncRNA from 2 species
UAAUAGUGACUGUUUGUUGGUGUUUCUUGGGAAUGAACUGAAAGUGUUCAACUGUCCCCGCAACUGUAAAAGCAUUGGAUAUGCUCAAGUCAGAUACCAAGACCGGCAACUUUCUCAUGAG